GAGGAUAUAAUUCAUAUGGUAGAGCGCAUGCUUAGCAUGCAUGAAGUCCUGGGUUCAAUCCCCAGUACUUCCU
rfam:Camelus ferus unplaced genomic scaffold scaffold818, whole genome shotgun sequence.